GUGAACAGUUCCUGUGGGCUUGGAGUGAGAGUUUGUCUGCAUGAUCACAUGCUACUGCUAACUAUUAUGGCUUCAAAUGAAACUUAUGUGAUUUGGGAAAUACUUAAACCUAUUGAUGUUGAGAAGCUCAUCCUGGCGUUCUCCUUGUCGAUAUUAAUUGGUCUGCUCAUCGGGAUCUUGAUUUUCCUCCUCCUUACAUGGAUGUCAAGACGGAGAGCUUCGGUCAGGAUCGCCGGAGGUCAAAACCAAUCAUCAGAAUCCAGGGGCUCACGUAACCAGCACUGCCACCUCAGACACUACAAGAGUCACGGCUUCGACAAGAACAGCGAAUCUGUGGGAAGAGUGGUUUUAAACCUUCACAGACAGACUUCUGUAGACCCCAAUGAGCUGCUGGGUAGAAGCCCCAGCUUCCAGAACUCCACGUUUCGGCUGCCAAAAAAAAAGUCUAACAAGACUGGUGAUCAAACAGAGGAUGAAAGCCGAACUGCAUCACUUCCUAACAACACAGAUCCAUUUAGUGCAGAACCAGCGGAGUCCUUCUGGCUGGGGAAGGGCAGUCUAAGAGGUUUUCUACCCAGACAGACUCCACCACCUGCUUAUGACAGUGUCAUCCACAUCUCUCAAGACUCCUGAACCUGACUGCACUGUGAUAAGAGAUAAAGGACUUGCAAAGCAUCGUAUAUAAAUCCCAAAACACGGAUUAAAGAGAUGAAAGUGAAGUAUCUCUCCUGAGUCUUUCUGCAGUCUGUCCGGGAAAAAAAGCUCCUAGGUGCUGGUAAAUCUCCUUUUAAUAGAAAACAACAUUUAAAACAGUAUAUACACUGAAACACAGAAAAAGCUAAUUAGUACAACAGAUGAGAUUUUAAAAAAUGUAGUGAUAACAAACUUACUGUGAGCUCCGAGGUAAAUCUGCGCUUUGGAGAGAGCAAAUGAAGCAAAAGAGGACAGUAAUUGAUACUCUUAAAUACACUCAAUUAUUUUCUUUAAGCUUGGGUAUAAAAACCAGCCGGUUAUCAGCAAUUUUUUUUACUGGCAAAUAUACACUGGCAGGAACUGAGAUGAAAGCCUAUAUUCAAGAUUCAAGAUUUGUAUUUAUUACACACAUGGUUAUAUGGAGAGCACAUGAACAGCAGUGAAAUGUAAGUCAGAUCUGCUCCAUGGAAAGUGCAAUUAUUAAAGAAUACAAACACAAGAAAAAUUACACAAAAUAAUAAGGUAUGGAAAAAGUUAAAU